UUUUUUAAUGUGGAAACAAUGCCCAUUUUUAGCGUUGACCAAGGAGUUUUGAAAAGGUUGUAGUAUAAAAGAACUUGUCUUCAUUUAUCUCAUUCGCAAGUUUAACACCACUUGAACCCCCUCUCUUCCUCUCUUGGAGCCAGCCCCAAACACCCACACAAACACACCAAUUUCUUUUUAUUUUGGAGAAGAUCUAGCAAGCAUAAGCACUAAUCAAGAGGAUCCAAGGUGUUUGUAAGAAGGAUAUGGAGUUUGAAGCUUUGUUUCUCCAUUUUCUCCCAUUGCCUUGAUUGCAUUUUGAAUGCAAGCAUUAAACCAGCAGGCUAGUACAGACACCUUAAAUCUGUAAAGUGAUUUACUGUGAAAAGAAGAAAAGUUCUAUGAAGUACUCAAGAAUAAAUAAGUGGUUAUGUAAACCUGAAUAAAACAUGGUUUUGUAAUCAAGAACUUAUCCUCGUGAAAAUCAUCUAUGUAAAUACGGGUUCUACCGCACAGUUUAAGAAAUGAAGAAUUAGUGUUUUAAAA